rnacentral:tRNA from 1 species
GGCCUCGUGGUGUAGCGGUUAGCACUCUGGACUUUGAAUCCAGUGACCCGAGUUGUGAGUCGAUGGCACAGUGGUUAAGACGAUCGCCGACCAUGCAAAUGAUCCGGGGUUCGAUCCCCGGCCG